CAAUACAAGUUGGCGCUAAGCCGCCGGCCUGUCUUUCGCGGGGUAGAGGAAUAGUGCUCGGAUGGUGUGACGUCAAAUGUAUUGUCUUUGGUCAUGAUCGGUCUCGGUUGAUUUGAACGCAAGUCAGUUGGUGUGUGAGUGCACUGCGCAGAACAUCGCUGGAAAACUUUUUCCGAUUUCAAAGGUGAAAUUCGCUUCAACAUUUCGGAAAUCAAGUUAAAAGAGCUGCAGCAGAAGAGGCUUAGCCCAAGGAUGAGUCCGAUACACGAGAUGGUGGACGAUUGGUUGUCAGUCUUCCGUGGCAGUGCCCAGCAGUCCAGUUGCAGUGCCUAGCAGUCCUAGGCCUGCAGCUCAAACCGAGGGAUGGACCGACUCCCUUCCCGCGGCUGAACCCGGCAUCCUCCCAUCGAUGUAUACAAGCCACCUGUCCUACUUCUACCGGCAUCGUGACUAGUCCUCCAUGGUGACGAACAGUAACUCUGGACCUAGAGUGCUUAUAAAUCAGGAUGUAUAGAUGUAACAGGAAUGAACAAGGAAAGAGUAUUCCGUAGGGAGUUUUCGCAAAAGAGUAGGGACAAUCCAGGAUGCAUGAGUGUACAUGUAACAGUUUUUAAUACCCUAAGAUAUAAUGUUCUGGGGACUGAUGAAUAUAUUAUGCGCAUUAAUCUCGUAGGUGUUGAUGUACACCAACCAACAGGGAAGGACUUGUUGCCAGAGGGACGUUUCCUACUACUCCACUGGAAUAGAAAUCCUACCUAACUGUAGCGCCACCUGUUCCCACAUGUGGUGCCCACGUACAGAUUGUUGUCAGAAUAUCUUUUUGUAAAACCUUUUAAUGAUAUUUGACCAAUGUAUCAGGACGUUGAAUAUCUAAAUUUGUCCUAAACAUAUCAAAUAAAGAAUGAUAGUUUCACAA